rnacentral:rRNA from 1 species
AUUGAACGCUGGCGGCGUGCCUAACACAUGCAAGUCGAGCGGUAACAGGUGUAGCAAUACAUGCUGACGAGCGGCGAACGGGUGAGUAAUGCUUCGGAAUCUGCCCAUGUAAUGGGGAAUAACCAGCCGAAAGGUUGGCUAAUACCGCAUACGACCUACGGGUGAAAGCAGGGGAUCGCAAGACCUUGCGCUAUUGGAUGAGCCGAAGUCGGAUUGGCNGUUGGUAGGGUAACGGCCUACCAAGGCGACGAUCCGUAGCUGGUCUGAGAGGACGACCAGCCACACUGGGACUGAGACACGGCCCAGACUCCUACGGGAGGCAGCAGUGGGGAAUAUUGGACAAUGGGGGCAACCCUGAUCCAGCGACGCCGCGUGUGUGAAGAAGGCCUGCGGG